rfam:Echinostoma caproni strain Egypt genome assembly, scaffold: ECPE_scaffold0006413
GGCGUCGUGGCUCACCUGGUAGAGCAUACGCAUACAAACCGUAGACGGCGUCCGUGCGUGGGUUCGAAUCCCACCGAGACUA